AGCGAACGCUGGCGGCAGGCCUAACACAUGCAAGUCGAACGAACCUUUCGGGGUUAGUGGCGGACGGGUGAGUAACACGUGGGAACGUGCCUUUAGGUUCGGAAUAACUCAGGGAAACUUGUGCUAAUACCGAAUGUGCCCUUCGGGGGAAAGAUUUCUCGCCUUUAGAGCGGCCCGCGUCUGAUUAGCUAGUUGGUUGAGGUAAUGGCUCACCAAGGCGACGAUCAGUAGCUGGUCUGAGAGGAUGAUCAGCCACAUUGGGACUGAGACACGGCCCAAACUCCGACGGGAGGCAGCAGUGGGGAAUCUUGCGCAAUGGGCGAAAGCCUGACGCAGCCAUGCCGCGUGAAUGAUGAAGGUCUUAGGAUUGUAAAAUUCUUUCACCGGGGACGAUAAUGACGGUACCCGGAGAAGAAGCCCCGGCUAACUUCGUG
rnacentral:rRNA from 1 species